ACAAUGGAGAGUUUGAUCCUGGCUCAGGAUGAACGCUGGCGGCGUGCCUAAUACAUGCAAGUCGAACGCUUCACAUAUGUGAAGAGUGGCGAACGGGUGAGUAAUACAUAAGUAACCUGGCCUUUACAGGGGGAUAACUGUUGGAAACGAUAGCUAAGACCGCAUAGGUGUCAUAACCGCAUGGAGAUGAUAUGAAAUAUGCUACGGCAUAGG
rnacentral:rRNA from 1 species